CAUUCUGUAGCAAUACAGGAUGUGGGCGCGUGGCGAACGGGUGCGUAACACGUGGAUAACCUUCCUUCAGGUGGGGAAUAACCCAGUGAAAAUUGGGCUAAUACCGCAUAACAUCGCGAUGGCACAUGCUGUUGCGUUCAAAGGCGCAAGUCGCCAGAAGAGGGAUCCGCUGCCGAUUAGCUUGUUGGCGAGGUAAUGGCUCACCAAGGCAUUGAUCGGUAGCCGGACUGAGAGGUUGGCCGGCCACACUGGAACUGAGACACGGUCCAGACUCCUACGGGAGGCAGCAGUGGGGAAUCCUGCACAAUGGACGAAAGUCUGAUGCAGCAACGCCGCGUGGGGGAUGAAGCUUCUCGGAGUGUAAACCCCUUUCGACCCGGAAGAAAGCCCGCAAGGGUUUGACGGUACGGGUAUAAGAAGCCCCGGCUAACUACGUGCCAGCAGCCGCGGUAAAACGUAGGGGGCCAGCGUUGCUCGGAAUUACUGGGCGUAAAGGGUCCGUAGGCGGUGUGGCAAGUCGGUAGUGAAAUCUCUGGGCUUAACUCAGAGGCUGCUGCCGAAACUGCUGUGCUAGAGUGCGAGAGAGGCGAGUGGAAUUGCGGGUGUAGCGGUGAAAUGCGUAGAUAUCCGCAGGAACAUCCGAGGCGAAAGCGGCUCGCUGGAUCGCAACUGACGCUGAGGGACGAAAGCUAGGGGAGCAAACAGGAUUAGAUACCCUGGUAGUCCUAGCCCUAAACCAUCAGGACUUGGGGUUUGCCCUGUACGGGGCAAGUCCCGUAGCUAACGCGUUAAGUCCUGCGCCUGGGGAGUACGGUCGCAAGGCUG
rnacentral:rRNA from 1 species